rnacentral:rRNA from 1 species
CAGUCGCCGCGGUAAAACGGAGGGUGCAAGCGUUAAUCGGAAUUACUGGGCGUAAAGCGUGCGUAGGCGGUUCGUUAAGUCUGUUGUGAAAGCCCCGGGCUCAACCUGGGAAUGGCAAUGGAUACUGGCGAGCUAGAGUGUGUCAGAGGAUGGUGGAAUUCCCGGUGUAGCGGUGAAAUGCGUAGAGAUCGGGAGGAAUAUCAGUGGCGAAGGCGGCCAUCUGGGACAACACUGACGCUGAGGCACGAAAGCGUGGGGAGCAAACAGGAUUAGAUACCCCCGUAGUCCCUGUCUCUUAUAA